rnacentral:rRNA from 1 species
CCUACGGGUGGCUGCAGUGGGGAAUAUUGGACAAUGGGCGAAAGCCUGAUCCAGCCAUGCCGCGUGUGUGAAGAAGGCCUUCGGGUUGUAAAGCACUUUCAGUGGGGAAGAAAGCCUUGGGGCUAAUACCCUCGAGGAAGGACAUCACCCACAGAAGAAGCACCGGCUAACUCCGUGCCAGCAGCCGCGGUAAUACGGAGGGUGCGAGCGUUAAUCGGAAUUACUGGGCGUAAAGCGCGCGUAGGCGGUCUGAUAAGCCGGUUGUGAAAGCCCCGGGCUCAACCUGGGAACGGCAUCCGGAACGGUCAGGCUAGAGUGCAGGAGAGGAAGGUAGAAUUCCCGGUGUAGCGGUGAAAUGCGUAGAGAUCGGGAGGAAUACCAGUGGCGAAGGCGGCCUUCUGGACUGACACUGACGCUGAGGUGCGAAGGCGUGGGUAGCAAACAGGAUGAGAUACCCGGUCGUC